rnacentral:rRNA from 1 species
UACGAAGGGGGCUAGCGUUGCUCGGAAUGACUGGGCGUAAAGGGCGCGUAGGCGGCUUGCACCGUCGGAUGUGAAAUUCCUGGGCUUAACCUGGGGGCUGCAUUCGAUACGGGCAAACUAGAGUAUUGCAGGGGAGACUGGAAUUCCUGGUGUAGCGGUGAAAUGCGCAGAUAUCAGGAGGAACACCGGUGGCGAAGGCGGGUCUCUGGGCAAUAACUGACGCUGAGGAGCGAAAGCGUGGGGAGCGAACAGG